UUUAUCGGUAAUGCCAGAAAAAUAUUUAUAUUAGAUGGACACCAUGUAUAAUUUUUUCAUAUCGAUAAUUUUGUCAUAUCGAUUCCGUAUAUUAUGAUUGGUUUUUUUUUUUUUUUUUUUUUUUUUUUUUUAAGAAACAUUUAAGUUAGAACGAAGAAGAUAUUGAUAGAGAACAAUCGGUCGAUUAACUGAUUUGUUUAUUAUUAUUUUUCUUUUAUUAAUAUUAACAACAAUGUUUUAUAAUUGUUGGACUACUUAUCGAGUGAGUUUUUAUCAUGCUAGUAGGACAUGGUAUUAUUAGGUCGUUAAAAAUGUCACAGUGUAUAUACUCGUACAUCUAUCACAAUUGUGUGUUACAUCCCAUUAAUUCGAUUAGUGUUUUGAUGAUUUACAUUCGACUAAGUUUCGUAGAGGGUUAAGAGUCAAAAUCCUUGAUCAUGUUGGCGGUGAAAAUCUAUAAUCUUUUUGAUAAUUCG